rnacentral:lncRNA from 1 species
AUGUUCUUGCUUAAAAUUGUUUCUCUCAUAUACUUGUCUUCUUUUUCUAAAUUUUAUUUUAUUAUCCUUGAAUGGCAGGAAAGAGUUCUAGAGAGAGAAGACAAAGUCAGUCUGUGUUUAGAAAAAAACCCAAGGCUGAAAAUUGAAGAACUGAAUAUGCAGCUUGGAAAGCGAACUGGACACAAGGAAAGUCUUGUCAGAUGGCUGCAUGCUUUUCACUGGAGGAGAGGGUGCCAGCCAUGGCUGCCUUUGAUCUUCAUCUUCUCAUCCAGGCUGUGUUUCCUUUCCUCAGCUGUGGUUCUCUCAGAGGUGAGGGCUCUCUCAUUGUUCUGUACCGGGCUGGUACAACAGGUCAGCACUGAACCCCCUGGCUGCCAGGGAUUUCUCGGAGGUGACAAGCCAGGGGUUUGCCAGCUGCUGGCCAGAUGUUCAGCAGUGACCCCGAUUUGGAGGUUGGGGCGUUCUGCACUUUGUGGGCUCCUCCUAGCCCAUCUUGUGGGAAUCCUUGAAGGAGGCUUGAAGUCCUGCACAAGUCCUCCUGUGGUCACAGAUGUGCUCUGCUUUAGCUUGGCUGUCUUAUGAGUCUUGGGUGGCAUCCCUGGACAUUCGUUUCAAGCUGGGAUGGGCCGCAGAAAGCUUCUGAGGCAUUCUCGCCACCUGAUCUGCCCCAACGGGAGACCACUUUCAGGUGUGGCCACCUCUGUUGCACAGUAGGCUCGCCUCUUUGUUGUUGUUCCCACCUUAUCUGGAUAGCAGUGCUGAGAAUCAGGAGUCCCUGCGUUUGGAGACCAAGGCCGGGCCCCAUGGUGGGUGGCCCAGGUCACAGGGCAGCAGUCAGCUUAUGGAGCCAGGGAACGUCCUGCUGACACCCUCAGCAAGUGUCUCGGGUAUAUUCCGGUUUUCCAACGAAACCCAUCACACCUCAUCCAACUGAAUCUCUCGCCCCACCGGACCCUAUCGCUGCCCGCGUCACCCCAUCCGAAAUCCAAUGAAAACAGCAGUCCCGGGUGUUCAUCGCAGGGUCUGAAGUGCGCUCCUCCCCAACCCAACCCAAUAAGGAAAGCCAGCUCAAGAAGGUACUGAGGUCAGGACUGUCGGGGUCCAGCAAGGCUUGUUGCACAUAGCCCCCUUCCCAGAGCCGCCCCUGUCACCGCCUCCCCAGUGCGCCUCUGUGGCAGCAAUCGGACAGCGCCAACGUGGCCGCUCCCCAGCCGGUACGCCAAUGCGCAUGCGGAAGCAGCCUGAGGCAAGCGCCAGGGCUGACCCGGCGCUCGCGUCACAACGACCUGCCACAAUUGCUGGGGAAACGGUCUGAGCGGCUUGGGCAAGGAGAGGCCCACUGUGGCAGCGCCUCAGCAUUUGGCAAUGGUCCUCCCUCUCCGCGGGAUCAUGCCAUUGUCCCGAGGCGGAAUCAGAGUGAGAGAACGUCCGAAGUGGCUUCCAAGUUGCCCAGGGCGGUCCGCAGGAAUCCCCAGGAUGCUUCAGGCCUGCCCAGACAAUGAAAAAGUGCAUCUUGUUGAAAGCCCUUCCGGCUGGGCUUUCCAGGUAAGGCCUGCUUGCCUGGCGCUGCUCUGCUCACUCCCCGAGGUCUUCCGAGCAGAGAGCAGAGCCCUGCAACCUCAGGAGAUGGCUGGCAGGUGUGUUUCCGUGAGUGCGUUGGAUGUCUUCGUGACGCUUUCUGUGUGUGUGUGUGUGUGUGUGUGUGUGUGUGUAUUCGAGUGAGUGUGUGUGUGCAUGUAUCUUUCUGAGUGUGUUGAGUGUGUGUGUUUGUGUGUGAGUGUGUGUGCACUGUGUAGGCGUGCACGCGACAUGCUGACACGGCUGUGGCCAGUGUGUUCCAGUGCGUUUUGUCUGUAGUCCUCCUACCAUCUGGUGCGGAUGUGCCUUUGGUUUAUCUUGGGAGCUGCGGGGCGUUCUUUGUUUAGCUGCUGGUUUCUAAAGCCUCAGAAUAGUGGGGUCUGGCUGCCACCUGCAGGUGUUUUGAUAUUCCCUUAUGAGGCCCCUCACUCCUCAAGAAAGAAGACAGGCACAACAUGGCUAGAAGCAAAGUCCCCCAAGCGCCGUUGGUCCCGUAGCACAUCUGGGGCUGAAGGGACCCUAGCCUUCCCAUCCUCAGGUACCCUUGAGGGGAACCACUGGUGUCCUCAAACUUAGAUGUAUUACUUGUUAAAACACAGGUUGCAGUUGAUGUGUCAGAGUGAGCCCGUGAGUCCGUAUUUCUUGGAGGCACUCUGGGGAUCCCAGUGAUUUGGGGUCAUGAUUGACAUUUCCAAGAGCAAGACUCAGAUUUGUGCUUUUGAAAUAAGAAAUGUCGAUCGAGGGUCUGCACUUAAAGGUCUUUUCUAAAUAUAGUCUUCAUUUCUCUUCCUAAUGACUUUUGUGUUAUCACUAAAAAACACACUGAUUGGCCAUAUAAACAUAAACAGAGAGUUCAUCAAUUUACUCCUUUGCAAUGCCUAAUGCAGUUGAAUCUUGGAUAUGUAGGGACAGAUUAUAUAGCAUGAGUUAGCUAUGAAAUAACAGUGGGGUUGGUAUCACAAAGAAAUGAAAUAUCACUUAUGUAAGCAAACAUUAAUAUAUUUAUACUAUAUCGUAAUACACCUCAUCAUUAUUUGCUGUCAACUCUAGCUUGGGAAUGUUCCUUGGUCUCAGCCAUGCCAGUAAUUAUUGACAAUACUGCCUGCUUGAGUCUCUAAGGAACAGCGGUCUGCAUCUGGGAGUGACGAAAUAUAAACAGAGGCUGUGCUCUGAUGGGUGGAGGGUUCUAACAUAUUGUGUGCAAAUACUCAUGUAGUUAGAGUACUUUCCACCUUUGAAUGUUUUUCUUUGAAACGGUAAAUGUAUUCGGAAAUAUAGGAUGUGAAUUUUAGCAGUUAGUUUAAAAUGAUUUGGAUACGACAUUUUAUUUGGAUUUCCAUUAAUUGUUAUAUGUGAGACUUUUUCCCCAUUUGCUUGCCUAAAAAUUAUUGUUCUAAUAUACAUGAAAGAACACGCAUAAUUGUAGGCAAACGAUGUGUGUAGUGUAUUCCCACGUACAGCAUUUCAGGUAUAAAGGAUAUUGUUGUUAAUUUCUGAAAACUUAAAUGCUCUGAAUAAAUCAUAACUACAAACAAUGACGAAAUGUUGAGAAAACCCUAUAAAAAUUAUGUGUAACUGAUUUAUUCUAGCAAACACAUGUUUACAUACACGUAAAGUACUCUAAAGCAUACUGAGUUUGUUAUAUUUUAUGUCCUGUGGCAGAAAUGGGAAUAAAAUGUAGGGGUCCAAUAUACUGUUAGUUUUCAAGUAUCAAACUGAAGCUGUAAUGUUUUACAGAGAACGUUUAUGUUUUACUAUGGAAAUAUUAGACCUCUCACUCUCUCUCUCUCUCUCUCUCUCUCUAUAUAUAUAUAUAUAUAUAUAUAUAUAUAUAUAUAUAUAUAUACACACACACACACAUAUACAUACAUGAAUAUACAUAAUAUAUAUAUGUGUAUAUAUAUAAAUAUAUAUAUAUGUGUGUGUAUAUAUGUGUGUGUUUGUGUGAAUAUAUAUGUACAUAUUGUCCACAGAAUAAGUGGAGGAAUUCAAUAUUUUGAUCCUGAGGAAGGAAAGCAUGCGAAUGGAAUAUGCUAAGCACUUUGACACAGUGUUGAGUUUGAGAAAUGUUCUUGCUUAAAAUUGUUUCUCUCAUAUACUUGUCUUCUUUUUCUAAAUUUUAUUUUAUUAUCCUUGAAUGGCAGGAAAGAGUUCUAGAGAGAGAAGACAAAGGCAGUCUGUGUUUAAAAAAAAACCCAAGGCUGAAAAUUGAAGAACUGAAUAUGCAGCUUGGAAAGCGAACUGGACACAUGGAAAAUCUUGUCAGGUAUGUUGGAUGUUAAGUCUUUGUGUUAAGGCUCAUUUUCCCAUGUCCCUCAUUUUCUCCUCACAAAACAAAUGUGACAACUUUUGCAAGGCAGGCCCUUGCUGAAAUUAUUAUGUGGUGGAGACACUACUUCACAAACACAUUUCAUCCACUUGUUUAACUCUCACACAUGGUUAUAGUCUGCAUGUUGAUGGAAAUAAGAGUGAUAAUCUGACACAGGCCAUUUUUCUUACUUGGCAAGAAAAGUUGACAAAUUUCUCCCCUUAGACGCCAUAAAAAUAAUUUGGCCUAGACAAUUUGUACUAAGAUUAUGAUGUUGUACGUGAAAACAAUAAAAUUCCUAAGCUCUGUUAGCAUACUGUGAAUGGUGAAUUAUGUAAGCAAUGGUGAGAAGACCGAAGCUUUAUUUACAAGAACAAUAUUGGCACUUUGUGAUUGCUGACCAAAGCAAAUGUGUGAAAUGCUUCUGUGUGAUAAACUAAAGAAAGGUGAAAAGCGGUCACAGGUAGAUUUUACGUUUGUUUUGUUUUCCAUUUUUUGUCGGUCUGGUGCUCUUUUGUUUUAGUGAGUUAUAAUCCUAAUCGGGAGUCUUACUUGAUGCAUCCCACUGGCUCUUCUCCACAGUCCAGAAGAAAGAGAUUAAAGCUCCUGGUGGGCUGGGCGAGUGAGUCUGUGAACGAAAAGAGAGCUAAUGUAAAAAGGGCAGCAGAGUGUCAAAGAACCAUGGCACAGAAGUUCUUAGUCUCGUUACUGGGACUUUGUAAGGGAACCCGUUCUGAUUUCUGACAAAAAAAUAGCCUUCUGAAAAAGACCCGUUAAAUUAAUGGAGGACACAGCAAUUAAACAUUUUAGAAAGAAUAAUCAUAUUGAUAAAACAAAUAUAUUAGUG